GGCUCUUUGGCGAUGUGGUCAGCGCGUCAGACUAUUACCCGGGAGUUUGGAGGUUCAAAUCCCCGCCUGGGCCC